rnacentral:misc_RNA from 1 species
AGUCUGUCUCGCUGCGCCGACAAGUUUGAUGUCCAGGUCUGGGAGAAAGCCCCCGUCCCUGGGGGAGUAGCUACCACCUCAGAAAUCAAAGGGGGAUUGGUCAUCAAUGACGGUGUACAAGGAGGAUGCCCCACUUACAGAAAUGUUUUAAACAUAAUGAAGGAGUUUAACCUUGAAACAAACCCUGUGCAUUUGACCGUUUCUUUUGGCAAAGGGAAAACUGCUUGGACCAAUUAUGCUCCUUCAGAGCUGACUGAAAAACUGCAAAAUGACAUAGCCCGGUUUGAAAAGCUCCUUAAAUUCAUCAACAAGUUUGAAGCAAUUUUCAUAUUUUUGCCCAUUGGAAAAGUUCUCAAGUGGUACGGCUUCUCUGAUGACUUCUGCAACUACAUGGUCUUCCCUCUCACUGCGCUGUUCUUUGGAACAGGAAACCAGGUUCCAUACGUCUCCUCUGCCAUCAUGGCUCGCGUUUUCCUUGAUGAUGAUCUGAGAUUAUUUGACUAUGAUUCAAAACGACUUUUGAGUCAAACUCCUGAAAUGUUCGCCUUUCCCAAACUUGUCAACAUGUACAAAACCAUAAUGGACAACUGUGGCGUAAAGUUUCAUGGCAACAGAAGUGUAUCUGAAGUGAGGAGAAGCAGUGGAAAAGUCACUGUGAAAGACCAAAGUGGAAAAGUGGAGGAGUUUGAUGAGAUUAUUUUUGCCUGUGAUGCUGAAACUGCUUUAAAGGUCUUGGUUAACCCAACUUUUAUGGAAAGGAAAGCAUUAGGAAAUGUCAGAUAUUUCAAUGAUCUCAUCAUUACUCAUGAGGAUGAGGAUUACAUGAACAAAUACUAUGAACUGCACAAGGAUGUUGACCAGUAUUUCAUCCACACUGAUGACAAGGAUCCCGAAAAGAUAGAAAUGUCAUUCAACCUCGCAAACUACCAGCCUCACUUGAGAGGAAAAAAUCGAAACAUUUACCAAACAAUUUAUCUCAAUGACCAACUUCGUUCAAUUUGGACAGAGAAGGACCUUGACCCAGAUAAAAUCCUCCUGAGACGAUGGUGGCGCCAGUUUGCACACAGUUGGCACCACUAUGCUUUUGUGGUGCCACUUGUAAGAUAUAUACAAGGCAAACAGAAUACUUGGUAUUGUGGAGCCUACACCCUAAUCAACACUCAUGAAAUUGCUACCAUCUCUGGGUUGGCUGCUGCUCAUCGCUUGGGGGCUCCUUAUCCAUUCCCUCAUGACAAGUUGGCAGCUAAACAGUUUGAUCAGUACCUGCUGGUCCUCCACGGACACCCCAGGACCUUUGGACUGAACAAAACCACCCUCCUGAGCUAUGCUAUGGCUCCAUUUAUGAUGGUGUUUGCAGGCCUCUCUCUGAUUUUUAACUUUUUCUACUCAAUUUUCUUUGCGUGAAGCUUGAAAUUUUCAUCAGGUAGUUUUCUGCUUGAAAUACUCUGAUUUUUAACUUUUUCUACUCAAUUUCCUUUGCGUGAAGCUUGAAAUUUUGAUCAGGUAGUUUUCUGCUUGAAAUACUCAUUUACAGUACUCCAUUUUUAAUUAAAAUGUACAAAUUCC